rnacentral:rRNA from 1 species
CGGACGGGUGAGUAACGCGUGGGAAUCUACCCAUCUGCGGGGGACAACCAGGAGAAAUCCUGGCUAAUACCGCAUAAGCCCUACGGGGGAAAGCAGGGGAUCUUCGGACCUUGCGCUGAUGGAUGAGCCCGCGUCGGAUUAGCUAGUUGGUAGGGUAAAGGCCUACCAAGGCGACGAUCCGUAGCUGGUCUGAGAGGAUGAUCAGCCACACUGGGACUGAGACACGGCCCAG